UUUCUCCCUCACAAGUAAACGUGUGCUGCCAGAGAAACCACAAAAUAGAAUUUGGAUAACAGAAAAUAUGAAACUCAUCCUAGGUCAUGCAUACAAUAACAAACAAAAUAGAAACGCAUCCUGGGAGCCUUCAUACAGUAGCUGAUGGAGGUAGAAGCAGAAAACAACAGCUAACCACUUAACUGAACUUCUGGAAUGCAGUUGCAGAGAAGGAGUGAUGAGCAAAGAGUGAAGAUCAAACUGGUGAAACCCACAGAAACAGAUGUCCUGAACAAGGAUAAGGGCCUUUACCCAGCAUCUUAUGAAAGAAGUAGACUCCAAGAGCUAAACACUGAAGUGAACUCUGGAACCCAAUUGCAGAGAGGGAGGAGUGAUGAAAAAAGGUGUCAAGACACAGCUGGUGAAACCCACAGAAAAAGCUGACCUGAACAAGAGGGAGUUCCGGGUAACCAUACUAAUACCUGGGAAAGCAGAAUAGGUCACUUGUGGACCACAUGAAGGUUGGUGGCAGUCUGAAGGCUUCUGCAAUCUAUGGGUUCAUUAGUUCAGCACUUCUCCCUAGCAUAGGAAAGAAAUUUGGUAUUCCAUUCAGCAUAGAGGGACACUCUCUCAGUCUAGACACACGGGGAGAGCCUAGGCCCUAUCCCAAAGGAUAAGACAGAUUGUGAAGAUCUCCCAUGCAAGGUGUCAUACUCCCUGGGGAACAUAAAGGGUGUGAGAUAGGUGUGGUGUUAAUGCCAUCGAGGGAGGAGGAAAAGGGGAUGGAAGGUGUUUGACAUCUAAAACAACCUGUUACCAAUUUAUUUUAUUUUAUUAUUAGUUCAAGUUAGGGAACAAGCUUGUUUCACAUGUAAGUCCCUUCUCCCUAUCCCUCCCCUCACCCCCAUUCCUCCUCCAUGACCUGCAACCUACUCCCUACCCCAUCCACCCACCACUCCCCAGGCAGGGUAGGGCCCUCAAUGGGCGCUCUGCAGAGUCCUCCAAAUCAAGGGAGGAGGAGAAGAAGAGGCACUGGGUUUGACAUAUAAAACAACCUGUUUCCAAUUUAAAUAAAAUGAUGAAAAAAUUAUAUACUUUUCACAUGUGAUACAAAAAUAAACCAUGUCACAUCUUUAAAGAGAAGCAGUGGUUUCAGAAAAAGGCAUUUGAUACAUGGGUUUCAUGAUGUGGUGAGACAGAUAUCUAAUAAUGGGAAUCAAACAAUCCCUGACUUUGCUCUUUUCUAUGGGUUCUGUCUCCUGUAUAUCUGGAACUGUCAGAUCUGUCUUGGUCAUUGUGAAAUUGUGUUUUUGUUAUAUGACAGAGAAUUUGAGAUUUGGAAUAAGCCCAAGUCCUGUUACUAAGAUCAUUUUCUACUGAGAAUUGCAUUAGCUCUACUUUAAUUUGAUUUAAAUUGUGUUAUGUAUUCACCCUUUGAUUGGUAAAUGAACUAGUACAUAGAUUGAUAUUAAUACCACUGAUGGAAAGCAAAUCCUGAUGUAACUUGGAGAUCUCUUUCAGAGCUAGUGAUUCAUUUCCUCCACACAACUACACAUAUGAUACAACAGUAACAAGGAAAAUGAUCAUGGAUGAAAGGAAGAAUGUAAGAUACAUAAUGUCCAGUAUACAAAUCAAAAAAAGCGCCAUGGUAA